CUUGACGACCAUAGAGCGUUGGAACCACCUGAUCCCAUCCCGAACUCAGUAGUGAAACGAUGCAUCGCCGAUGGUAGUGUGGAGUUUCUCCAUGUGAGAGUAGGUCAUCGUCAAGCUUCUAC
rnacentral:rRNA from 1 species